UACGUAGGGUGCGAGCGUUGUCCGGAAUUAUUGGGCGUAAAGAGCUUGUAGGCGGUUUGUCGCGUCUGCUGUGAAAAUCCGGGGGCUCAACCCCGGACUUGCAGUGGGUACGGGCAGACUAGAGUGUGGUAGGGGAGACUGGAAGUUCCUGGUGAUAGCGGUGGAAUACGCAGAUAUCAGGAGGAACACCGAUGGCGAAGGCAGGUCUCUGGGCCACUGACUGACGU
rnacentral:rRNA from 1 species